rnacentral:misc_RNA from 1 species
UUAAGUUCAGCGGGUAUCCCUACCUGAUCCGAGGUCAACCUUGUAGUUAAGAUUCUCCCUAAAAGGGGAGGCAGACCGUGCCCCGCGCACCCUUACUCCAGUACGUGUCCCGUGAAGAACUCAGUGUACCGGGGGUCCAACGAGGCCGCCGUCAUUGUCUUUGGGAGGGGCGAGAGCCCCCGAGGGGGCCUCCGCCAAAC